rnacentral:rRNA from 1 species
GAUGAACGCUAGCGGGAGGCCUAAUACAUGCAAGUCGAACGGUAACAGGUAGCAAUACGCUGACGAGUGGCGCACGGGUGCGUAACGCGUACACAAUCUGCCUUAUACUGGGGCAUAGCCUUUGGAAACGAAGAAUAAUUCCCCAUAAUAUAUAGAAGAGGCAUCUCUUUUAUAUUAAAGCUCAGGCGGUAUAAGAUGAGUGUGCGUCCGAUUAGGUAGUUGGUGAGGUAACGGCUCACCAAGCCAACGAUCGGUAGCUGGUCUGAGAGGAUGAUCAGCCACACGGGCACUGAGACACGGGCCCGACUCCUACGGGAGGCAGCAGUAGGGAAUAUUGGACAAUGGGCGCAAGCCUGAUCCAGCCAUCCCGCGUGAAGGAUGAAGGUCCUCUGGAUUGUAAACUUCUUUUCUUCGGGAAUAAAAACUAGGGGUUCUCCUCAGCUUGAAGGUACCGAAGGAAUAAGCACCGGCUAACUCCGUGCCAGCAGCCGCGGUAAAG